rnacentral:rRNA from 1 species
AUACGUAGGGUGCGAGCGUUAAUCGGAAUUACUGGGCGUAAAGCGUGCGCAGGCGGUUUUGUAAGACAGUGGUGAAAUCCCCGGGCUCAACCUGGGAACUUCCAUUGUGACUGCAAGGCUGGAGUGCGGCAGAGGGGGAUGGAAUUCCGCGUGUAGCAGGGAAAUGCGUGGAUGUGCGGUGGAACACCGUUGGUGAAGGCAAUCACCUGGGCCUGCCUUGACGCUCAUGCGCGAAAGCGUGGGGAGCAAACAGAAUUAGAUACCCUGGUAGUCCACGCCCUAAACGAUGUCAACUGGUUGUUGGGAAUUUAUUUUCUCAGUAACGAAGCUAACGCGUGAAGUUGACCGCCUGGGGAGUACGGCCGCAAGGUUAAAACUCAAAGGAAUUGACGGGG